rnacentral:lncRNA from 1 species
GCUUAACUGAAACCAGAGCUGGGUGGGUCCCCGCCCAGUGGGAACAUCUCCUCCAGAGACAGGAAGUCUCAUGUGUUUUGCUAUUUAAUGAAGCAGGGACAUUCCUUGGUGUUUUCGCCGCACUCAGAGAAAGGAGAAGAGGUCCAUCCAUCAGACGGUUGAGAAAACUCUGGCUUGAAGACUUGAUGUUACUGCCUGAGGUCCUGUCGCUGGAGUGCCAGGCCGCGUCCCUCGGAGGUGGGCACAGAAGAUGCUAAGAUUUCCAGAAGUGGCUCCAGGAUCAAGAAAAAAGCAUCGCCUUCCCCUUUUUCCAAGCCCGGGGUAUAACUGUCUGAUUCUUUCCUAAAAAUACAAGGUACACUAUUGUGUUCAUGGGCAGGAGCCAGAAGUCAGAAUAUACAAACGAAUCGUCAAUCCUGAAGCACUUACAUUUUCUUUUGGAAUUAAGCCAAGGAUUCCAAGUCAGAAGUGAACACAUUUAGAUGCUGAUUCAGGUUUGUCUUUUCCUGACCCAGUCCCAGUGUCUCCUGGGACUGAGAGACGGUAACUCGGCCUAGAAGAGAAUUCAUUGAAGUUAACACUGCGAGGGUGGAGUCUAUUAGGGAUAAAGUGUACGGCAUGUUGGGAGCUCAGUGAUGCCCAAAUAAUAGAAAGAAAAAAGCAGAAGUGAAUUUCAGCUUCCGAAAUGAACCUGGUACCUAAGGCUUCUAGAAGGUUCUUGGACCUUCUUGCAUAUUCUUGAGUGUGUCUGGUCACAAAGGUUUUCUAAUGAGAUAGUC